rnacentral:rRNA from 1 species
GACGAACGCUGGCGGCGCGCCUAACACAUGCAAGUCGAACGAGCGAGAGAGAGCUUGCUUUCUCAAGCGAGUGGCGAACGGGUGAGUAACGCGUGGGGAACCUGCCUCAAAGAGGGGGACAACAGUUGGAAACGACUGCUAAUACCGCAUAAGCCCACGACCCGGCAUCGGGUAGAGGGAAAAGGAGCAAUCCGCUUUGAGAUGGCCUCGCGUCCGAUUAGCUAGUUGGUGAGGUAACGGCCCACCAAGGCGACGAUCGGUAGCCGGACUGAGAGGUUGAACGGCCACAUUGGGACUGAGACACGGCCCAGACUCCUACGGGAGGCAGCAGUGGGGAAUAUUGCACAAUGGGGGAAACCCUGAUGCAGCGACGCCGCGUGGAGGAAGAAGGUCUUCGGAUUGUAAACUCCUGUUGUUGAGGAAGAUAAUGACGGUACUCAACAAGGAAGUGACGGCUAACUACGUG